rnacentral:lncRNA from 1 species
UUAGGAUAGGCUCGGGUGGUACCUUUUCGCUUCAACUGCUUCUCCACUUUGAUAGCCAUGUGGACCAUGUCCACAACCUCAAUAUAAUGUUGCAGUUCUACGACAUUUGCAAUCUCUCGAUUAAGUCCCGCUAGAAAGCGAGCCAUUAUGGCUUCUCGAUCUUCUUGUAUAUCAGCACGGAUCAUAGCCACUUCCAUUUCUUUAUAAUAAUCUUCCAGACUCUUCGUCCCUUGGAUGAGAUCUUGGAGUUUUUG